rnacentral:rRNA from 1 species
UACGUAGGGCGCAAGCGUUAUCCGGAAUUAUUGGGCGUAAAGAGCUCGUAGGCGGUUUGUCGCGUCUGCCGUGAAAGUCCGGGGCUCAACUCCGGAUCUGCGGUGGGUACGGGCAGACUAGAGUGAUGUAGGGGAGACUGGAAUUCCUGGUGUAGCGGUGAAAUGCGCAGAUAUCAGGAGGAACACCGGUGGCGAAGGCGGGUCUCUGGGCAACAACUGACGCUGAGGAGCGAAAGCGUGGGGAUCAAACAGG